CUCCAGGAAAAGCAGGAAUCAAUGGAGGUCUGGGUUCACCAGGGCCAAGGGGUCUGCCUGGCAAACCUGGUCUGGAGGGGCCACAAGGUCCUGUUGGCAUCCAUGGCUACCCAGGAUCGGUUGGCGACAGAGGAAAACCAGGACCUGGGGGCAAA